rnacentral:hammerhead_ribozyme from 1 species
GUACUACUGAAGAGUACCAAAACAGGACGAAACAACCGUCUUGUAC